rnacentral:lncRNA from 1 species
AGAACUUAGAAACCGAUCACUGCAAUUUGUUUGAGAAGCAUUGGACAAGAAUUGUCCACUCAUCGGUUUGCAUAUCACCAAUAACUGUUAGGUGAGGUGGUACGUUAAACUGGUGGGACCGCAGUACCCACUUGAAACCUUUUGUUGUGUUGGGUUUCUGUUUCUCUAUCCGAGGAGUGUAAGAGAUUCGAGAAAAUAGUGGGAGGCUAAAUUUAUUUUUAAAAUCCCUAAAACAAAAUUUUAAAACAAAUACAAAUAUCUAACUUGAAUCUUUACUCUCUGCAAAGCUAAUGACUGCUUCCAAUUAUCUCUCUCGUAUUCUCGACACAAAAUCCUUAACUGAAACUAAUUAUAAAGACUGGCAAAGGAAUUUAAAAAUAGUUUUAAAUUCCAAGAAGCUCUGCAUUGUUCUCGACUAGG